UACAGAGGGGGCAAGCGUUGUUCGGAAUUACUGGGCGUAAAGGGCGCGUAGGCGGCCUUCUAAGUCGAACGUGAAAUCCCCGGGCUCAACCCGGGAACUGCGUCCGAUACUGGAAGGCUUGAAUCCGGGAGAGGGAUGCGGAAUUCCAGGUGUAGCGGUGAAAUGCGUAGAUAUCUGGAGGAAUACCGGUGGCGAAGGCGGCAUCCUGGACCGGCAUUGACGCGGAGUGAGCGAAAGCCAGGGGAGCAAACGGG
rnacentral:rRNA from 1 species